GGGAAGGUGGCUCAGUGGUAGAGCGCUUGCCUUGUAUGCAUGAGGCUCUGGGUUCGAUUCCUCAGCACCCCA
rfam:Dipodomys ordii contig_59874, whole genome shotgun sequence.